rnacentral:rRNA from 1 species
AGUGAACGCUGGCGGUAGGCCUAACACAUGCAAGUCGAACGGCAGCACAGUAAGAGCUUGCUCUUACGGGUGGCGAGUGGCGGACGGGUGAGGAAUACAUCGGAAUCUACUUUUUCGUGGGGGAUAACGUAGGGAAACUUACGCUAUUACCGCAUACGACCUACGGGUGAAAGCAGGGGAUCUUCGGACCUUGCGCGAUUGAAUGAGCCGAUGUCGGAUUAGCUAGUUGGCGGGGUAAAGGCCCACCAAGGCGACGAUCCGUAGCUGGUCUGAGAGGAUGAUCAGCCACACUGGAACUGAGACACGGUCCAGACUCCUACGGGAGGCAGCAGUGGGGAAUAUUGGACAAUGGGCGCAAGCCUGAUCCAGCCAUACCGCGUGGGUGAAGAAGGCCUUCGGGUUGUAAAGCCCUUUUGUUGGGAAAGAAAAGCAGCAGGUUAAUACCCCGCUGUUCUGACGGUACCAAAAGAAUAAGCACCGGCUAACUUCGUG